rnacentral:rRNA from 1 species
CCUACGGGUGGCUGCAGUGGGGAAUAUUGCACAAUGGGCGCAAGCCUGAUGCAGCCAUGCCGCGUGUGUGAAGAAGGCCUUCGGGUUGUAAAGCACUUUCAGCGGGGAGGAAGGCGGUGAGGUUAAUAACCUCAUCGAUUGACGUUACCCGCAGAAGAAGCACCGGCUAACUCCGUGCCAGCAGCCGCGGUAAUACGGAGGGUGCAAGAGUUAAUCGGAAUUACUGGGCGUAAAGCGCACGCAGGCGGUCUGUCAAGUCGGAUGUGAAAUCCCCGGGCUCAACCUGGGAACUGCAUUCGAAACUGGCAGGCUAGAGUCUUGUAGAGGGGGGUAGAAUUCCAGGUGUAGCGGUGAAAUGCGUAGAGAUCUGGAGGAAUACCGGUGGCGAAGGCGGCCCCCUGGACAAAGACUGACGCUCAGGUGCGAAAGCGUGGGGAGCAAACAGGAUUAGAUACCCGGGUAGUC